CCCAAUGCCAAAUUAGCGAAAGGAACCAAUCAAAGUUUGCAUAUAUUAAGAUAUUAAUCUGCUGAGUACAGUGAGGAUGAGGACACUUGGUUUUGGUAAAUCUUGUCUCCGUCGUGCACAGGGACAAAUGGAUGACCCGAGUUACCUUAUUCAAAAAAUUAAAUCAUAGAAAAAAAUGAAGAAUCUCGCAUGAUGUUUUGUAUUGUCGCCAGGAAUGGCCGUGCCUGAGCUGCAGCAGCCAAGCCUGUUUGAUAGCCGGGUUUUGUCCUAGUACGAAGACCAUAAGUGUCCCGUCCGUCUCGCGGCCGAGUCAGACCCAGCCAAACUCUUCAAUUGGACGAGUAAGGCGUCCGGAUUAAUUUCCCACAGCCGUGACGGCGGUGGUGUACGUGCGCAUGCUCCAUAUGAUGCGUCAGGCAACUGUUUGAUGUAAUGCCCCUAACGUUUUGUCCUCUGGCUGUAGCUUUGCACUCGACACCUGGGGAGUUGCUUGUGAUGUUGCCGCUCACUGACCAGUGUGUCGUUUUCUGAAUCUUAGGAAGUAGAGGACGAAGCAGGCCUGCAAACUUUCCACAAACUAUGAGCAACUUCUUUCCUUGCAUAUUUCUGUAACCAUCGUGACAGUCGCUGCAAAUGGCAUCAUUAGAUCAUCCCUCGGUAUCUGGUCAUUGCUCAGGUCUGUAGUAGUGUUUGGGUGAUUUUUUUCUCUUGAGAGAGAGAGAGAGAGAGAGUAGUUUUUGGGUAUUAAAUACGUGGUCUUCUGCAAUAUACUUCUUUUUUUGCUUGUACUAUUGCGGAGCAUGCUCUAGCAUUAAUAAAAAAAUGUUCACUCGA